GAUGAAGAACGUAGUGAAAUGCGAUAAGUAAUGUGAAUUGCAGAAUUCAGUGAAUCAUCGAAUCUUUGAACGCACAUUGCGCUCCCUGGUAUUCCGGGGAGCAUGCCUGUCCGAGCGUCAUUGCUGCCCUCAAGCACGGCUUGUGUGUUGGGCCUCCGUCCUCCUCCCGGGGGACGGGCCCGAAAGGCAGCGGCGGCACCGCGUCCGGUCCUCGAGCGUAUGGGGCUUCGUCACCCGCUCUUGUAGGCCCGGCCGGCGCUUGCCGACACAUCAAUCUUUUUUCCAGGUUGACCUCGGAUCAGGUAGGGAUACCCGCUGAACUUAAGCAUAUCAAUAAGCGGAGGA
rnacentral:misc_RNA from 1 species